ACGGUGAAGAGGAGCUUGCUCCUCGGAACAGUGGCGGACGGGUGAGUAACACGUGAGCAACCUGGCUCUAAGAGGGGGACAACAGUUGGAAACGACUGCUAAUACCGCAUAACGUAUCGGGAUGGCAUCUUCCUGAUACCAAAGAUUUUAUCGCUUAGAGAUGGGCUCGCGUCUGAUUAGAUAGUUGGCGGGGUAACGGCCCACCAAGUCGACGAUCAGUAGCCGGACUGAGAGGUUGAACGGCCACAUUGGGACUGAGACACGGCCCAGACUCCUACGGGAGGCAGCAGUGGGGGAUAUUGGACAAUGGGGGCAACCCUGAUCCAGCGACGCCGCGUGAGGGAAGAAGGUUUUCGGAUUGUAAACCUCUGUUGACGGAGAAAAAAAUGAUGGUAUCCGUUUAGAAAGCCACGGCUAACUACGUGCCAGCAGCCGCGGUAAUACGUAGGUGGCAAGCGUUGUCCGGAAUUACUGGGUGUAAAGGGAGCGUAGGCGGGAUAGCAAGUCAGAAGUGAAAAUUACGGGCUCAACUCGUAACCUGCUUUUGAAACUGACAUUCUUGAGUGAAGUAGAGGCAAGCGGAAUUCCUAGUGUAGCGGUGAA
rnacentral:rRNA from 1 species